rnacentral:lncRNA from 1 species
GAGCAUCUAGGUUAUAUUUCUGCUACGCUGCAAACUAGAAAAAUCGCCGCUGCCCUACCCUAUGCAAGCCAGCCUCUAUCCGCUGUUGAAAUCGGCUGCUAGCUGUUUUUUAUGCUUACUAAUCAACCAGAGGUAAUGGCGUUUGUUGUGAAAGUGUUUGAACAUCUUAAAAUUCAUUUGGAAGAGUUAAAAAAGCCACCUAAGAUGUUUGGUUACAAAGUUAUUAAAGUUGUGGAUUUGGAAAUGUGUAUGACACUCUAAAGGGCGAAACAUGGUUGCUAUUGAGCGUAUUAAAUUCAUUAAUUUAAGCGAUUUCACCCUGAGUUUUGGAAGGAGAUCAUUAUGCUUUCCCGUUACAUCUCUAGGAAUCUGACGUCGUGAUCUCUCUUGUCGGAUUUUGUGAUGAGAAAUGUGGAUUUUGUGAUGAAAAAUGCGGAUUUUGUGAUGAGGAAUAUGAGAAGAUCCUUGUACAAGUAUUCAUCUAAUGCAAUCCGAAACAGUCUGUUAAACUCCACUAUUGCUACAUGGACACAACGUCUCAAGAUAUGUCGCAAGCGGGCUAGCCUACCUUCGUAUUUGUUUGUGUAAAAAACAAGAUGCAAUUAUUGGUUAAAGAGUAUCAAAGGUGUUGUAUAAAAAAUGUUAUCUCUUAGUACAUAAAAUAAAUUUUAAU